ensembl:lncRNA
UAUGCAGGCCUCUGUGAGUACUGAAUUGCUGAGAGUUAAAGAAGUUUCCACAUGUGAAGGGGAAGCCAGGUUGCAAUCAGGAAGGAUUUUUGUAUAAGCAUUUCUGAGCAUCCCUAUGGUGUGAGAAAAUGGAAAUUUUCCAUCAUUUUCAGUCCCCUGGUUCAAGGUCCAAAUCUUGGAGAGAGCUCAAGAGUGACUCGUUGGAUGACAGAGAAGUCUUCAUGGUGCUGUGCUGGCAGAACUUGCUGGAAAUCCAUCCUCUAGGGUGCUAAGGAAAGUUAUUCACAGGGAGAUGUCUCACCGGAGACACUGCACUAUGAAACAGCCUGGAGAGGUGCCACCUACUGGCCACUGGGUGCUGGUGGUCAGUGGGUGCUACAGAAGCCAUGCGUCAGAGAAGCCACCCAAGGGGAUUUAAUGUUGGUAUUUGUGUUGGCAGAUUCGGCACUCAGCAGAAGCAUUAGCCAAGUCAGCCUUAGUAAGCAUGUGUGUGUUGUUAAGCCCAUGCAUAGUCUCCAUCCCAGCCACCACAGCCACUUUGUUCAGAGGUUCAUUGAGUAAACACUGGGGUGGCUAGGCAAAGUGACUGACAUCUCAAAAAGCAUCAUUUUGUCCACCUGAUAAUUAAGAGCCUCCUCUGCCGUAGAUGUCCUUCAGUGGGCUUUCAUGUGGAACACAAAUAUCUUCAGAGUUUGUGCCCGUUCAGAGAGGUCCAUCCACAUACUUCUUCCCAAAACUUCCUUGUGAUCAAUUGUUGAAUCCUGUUUCUUCCAAGUCCCUAGCCCACCAGCCCAACAAAUAGCAACUGCCCAUGAAGCAGUGUAGAUCCAUACUUCUGGCCAUCUCUCACUCUAGAUAUGAACAACCAAAUCUAUUGUCCAAAGUUCUGCCCACUGGAAGGAGAUUCCUUCACUCUGGUCCUUCAGGGUCAUCCCUGAGUGGGGCUGUAAUGCUGCAGCUAUCUACUUUUGGAUGGUGCCAGCUUAUUGUACAGACCCCUCUGUAAACCAAGUUUGAUUUUUUUCUUCCUCAGACCAAUUGUCAAUAUAUGCAACGUCCCAAAAAUAUCUGGGUAUUUUCUAUAACGCUUUCAGUCUUCCUCCUGUAGGUGGGAAUCUUCAGUUUGCCAAAGGACUCUGGAUCUAUAAUUCCUCCCUGAGAAACUGAGGCUUUCCCCUGGCCUUAGUGUUAAGUCUCUGCAGAUUCAACAAGCUUUAAUUCUGGGCCACUGGUAAAAAUACUUUUAUAACUUCCUUUUGCAUUGUUUGAGAUUCAAAGUGACAAGCUUAUACCUUGACUGUUUAUAAAGAAAUGCAUCUUAAAAAGUUAAGGAAACGGGAUUCUUAAAUAAGAGGGAUUUCAACCAAAGGAGUAGUAUAUGUUACUCAGUGAGACAUUAAAAUAUCUUACAGGAAAAGACUCAGUGACUCCAGCCUGCCUUGCUUAUGAACAAUGGUCACAAUGUGCUAGUAUAUUAUUCCCAUAAGAAGUAGAAAAUUGCUACUUGGCUAGGGCCAGACAUUUCAGGCCCUAUUUGGGGAUUUUCACAAGAAUCCUUCAUCACAUAGGACAGCAUAGAAGGAAUACUUCUUUCCUUUGGGAAUUCAUUUCUCCUGCCCCCUGUGGUAGGCAGGCCCCCCCAAGGAUAUCCACAUUCUAACCCCUAAAGCCUGUGAAUAUAUUACCAUACUUGACAAAGAGACUGUAGAUUUGAUUAAAUUAAGGGCCUUGAGAUAAGAAAGUUAUUCUAGAUUAUCUGGGUUAUUCUGAAUUAUCUGGGCCCAAUCUAAUCACGCAAGACCUUAAAAGCAGAGAGCCCUUCCUGGCUGUGGUCAGGGGAAGACGUGCCUACCGAAGACAGAGCAGAGAUGCAACAUUGCUAGCUUUGAAGGUGGAAAAGGGUAGCUGUGAGCCAACGAAUGUGGUGGCCUCUAGAAACUGAAAAAGGCAGGAAAAGGGGUUCUAGAGCCUCUGGAAAGGAAUGCAGCACUGUCAAAAUCUUAAUUUUAGCCCAGUAAGACCUGUGUCA